rnacentral:rRNA from 1 species
GAUGAACGCUGGCGGCGUGCUUAACACAUGCAAGUCGAACGGAAAGGCCUCUGCUUGCAGGGGUACUCGAGUGGCGAACGGGUGAGUAACACGUGGGUGAUCUGCCCUGCACUUCGGGAUAAGCCUGGGAAACUGGGUCUAAUACCGGAUAGGACAAUGGUUUGGAUGCUGUUGUGGAAAGUUUUUCGGUGUGGGAUGAGCUCGCGGCCUAUCAGCUUGUUGGUGGGGUAAUGGCCUACCAAGGCGUCGACGGGUAGCCGGCCUGAGAGGGUGUACGGCCAGAUUGGGACUGAGAUACGGCCCAGACUCCUAAGGGAGGGAGCAGUGGGGAAUAUUGGACAAUGGGCGCAAGCCUGAUGGAGCGACGCCGCGUGGGGGAUGACGGCCUUCGGGUUGUAAACUCCUUUCGCUAGGGACGAAGCGUUUUUGUGACGGUACCUGGAGAAGAAGCACCGGCUAACUACGUG